rnacentral:rRNA from 1 species
GUAACGAGCGCAACCCUUGUCCUUAGUUACCAGCACGUUAUGGUGGGCAUCUAAGGAGACUGCCGGUGACAAACCGGAGGAAGGUGGGGAUGACGUCAAGUCAUCAUGGCCCUUACGGCCUGGGCUACACACGUGCUACAAUGGUCGGUACAAAGGGUUGCCAAGCCGCGAGGUGGAGCUAAUCCCAUAAAACCGAUCGUAGCCCGGAUCGCAGUCUGCAACUCGACUGCGUGAAGUCGGAAUCGCUAGUAAUCGUGAAUCAGAAUGUCACGGUGAAUACGUUCCCGGGCCUU